UGAGAAGUCAGCAGUCUUCUCUUAUCCGUGCUCUUGCGCAGUCGGGUUGGGCUGGAGUCGUGGAUGCCGAGUUCUGUGAGGUGGUCAUGCUGCAGGCUGGGAGCUCAGGCCAGGAAUCCAGAAGAGGGACCUUCUUCAUGCAGGAUGUAUGAAAAGGCUGCAGGAAACUGCGGGCUGCAGAGAGCUCUGCGAGUGGUAGGCUGAAUCAGAGGGCCAAGUGGGCCUGAGGAGCAGAAGCCUCGCCUCCCAGCUGCCCAGGGCAGCCCUUGGCAAGAACCCAGGCAGGCAGGGACAAUGGGAGGAAUGGAGAAUGGGCAAAGCCCAGCUGUGGGGGGUGGGGGGGGUGGGGUCCAAGGUCAGGACUCCAGCUCUGCAGGCAUCCAGGAACUACUUAAGAUACAGGGGUUCUGUUUGUGAGGCUGAGGCUGUCGGGCCUGGGCACAGUGUGGCCUGGGCCUUGGGGCAUGGCGGGGAGAAGGCCUGGUCCUGGGGUGGAUAAGUGGCCUGGAGCAGGGGUCUGGGUGUGGAAGCCAGGACCUGAAGGCCCAGCUGUAACGGAGGUUACAAAGCUGUGUUAUGGAAGGCCCCAGGAGUUGGGUAGGUUUCCUGGUUGAGAAGCUUGGAGGGGCCUGUUUGCAAAACAUCUGGAGGAUGUGUGUCGCUGUCCAGUCAAGCUGGAAAGCAUCCCACGUGGCUCAUGGGUCGGGGCGUAGCAGCACUGACCACAGGGGAGACACAGGGACACCCAGACUCUGUCCUUGCGGUGACAAGAGAAUUGUCUUCAGGAAAAGAACAGUGAGUUGGAGUUCUUUCCAUUUGCAUGCUUUUCGUAAUCCCUGAGAAAUCGGCUUUUCCCCUUCCCUGGCUCCGUCCCUCCCUCCCCUACAGCCCCACCUGCCCAGACUGUAGGCUGCAGCGGCAUCCCACCUGCCCUGGGCAGUAGCGGAGGCCAUAGGGAAGAAAGAACAUCUCCCGACGUCUUCCUGGUUGUGGCCCAGCCCGGCCUGCCAAGGCAGGCUCCACCCUGCGUGCGUGGUGUGGGGCAGCCCUCGUAGAUAUGUCUCUGCCUCCCUUUGUCUCCGACUGUAUCCAAGGGCAGGAGGGGGCAGAGCCUACUUCCUCCACACUCUUGGAAACAACAAAGGACAAGGUCCUGACUCGGCUCUAGACACCCGCCCCCAUGCUGAGUCUGUGAAUGUGUAUACGUAAGUGUGUGGUGUGUGUGUGAUGUAUGUGCACGACAGCAUGUGAACAAGUGUGUGAGUGUGAGCCUGUGUGUACGUGUACGCAUACUGUGCAUGUGUGGUGGGUGUGAAUGGGCUGUGCAUGUUUGGUGGGUGCAAGUGUGUAAGGCAGUUCCCCAGCCUGCCGGGCUCUGUAUUCCCCAUGAGGGACCCUUUGAGUUGGUCCUGAUGCUGUCCUGGGGCAGUGGUUGGUGGGAUGGAGAGAUCAUGUUUCUAGAAGGUCCAGCAUUAGGUUUCUGGAGCUCUUUCCCCAGUUUGCCAGAGAAAGAACCCUUUCUGGUUAAAAAGACUGAUGGCUUCCAGCCUUUGUCUUCCCCGCUCUGGCCCCAUCCCAUGAGUGUGCAAGUGCCUGCCAGUGCACACAAGCACACAUGUGGUCCCUGCAUGGGGGACUCUGGGAGACUCCAAAGAGCUGACCCCAGGUGCACACGUCUCACUGUGGGCUUGGGCAGUUUCUGAGUCUGUGGAUAAAGGAGACAUUCUCAUCCGCCGUGAAGAUGCUGGACUUGGCCUUUGAGCCUUUGUCAGGAGCUUGGCUCUGAUGGGGACACUGGUCAGUGGGUAGGGGGUUGCCUCAAACCAGAGGGCACUGUACGGUCCCCUCCAGAAUCAAGCCCACUGCCGUAGUCACUGAGACCUCUGCUUCUCUCAGCCCCAUGUGGGGUAGGUUUGGGCUCUGGAGGUGAGGAGGGCUGGCCCACAGAUCCCCUGACCAGCUGUCCUUCUUUCUUCUCUUUAUUUUCUAGCCAGAAGCUCACACACACCAGAUUCUUAAUGGGCCAGCAUGGUUCAGGAAGGUGUUGAGUCUUGAUGGACCCAAGAGCCAGGACUCUGGCAGGAGAACGGAAUCCCUGAUGGAUUCAGACAGAGCAGUAGGAUCCUGCUGGGAGUGGGUUUGCCUGGGUACCAAAGCAAACUUUUAACCAAGUAGGUCCCUGGGCCUCUGCUUGACCCCACUGACCCCAUGUGGCAGAAGGUAAGAGCUCAGGCCCUGGAGUCACACUGAUCUGAGUUCAAUUCCUCAUUCUACCACUCACCAUGCUGUAAGACCUUGGACAAGUUACUUCAUCCCUCUGAACCUCAGUUUCUUCAUUUACAAAAUGGGUGUAGCACUAUUUACCUCACAAAAGUGUUGAGGAGUAGUCCAUCUUGAGAAGGCUCUGACAGUUGGGUCAUGGAGAAGACCAGUAACCAGUGAUAACUGUGGCAGGAGGGGUCUGGGUGGGUAGACACUGACGGUUCUGCAUCUAGGAGGCUCUAGAGAGCAGAAUAUUCACUGCAUUCCCUCCAUGCUCCCCCCCUAAACACACAGGCUGGGAUGUCAGAGCUGGAAGGACCUCAGAGACCACUCAAGGUGGUCAACCAGCUUCUCAGAGGCCAGGCCGUGACUGGAGUCAUGCCCUCCUGGCUUGGUAGGACUCAUUCUGCCAAAUACUCCAGUGAUUAGAGCAUGGCCAUCAGCUCUAGAGUCCACCAAGUCUGCAUUCAAAUCCCUAGCUCUACCACUCAGUCACCUUGCCUCUCUAAUCCUGUUCUUUCAUCCCUAAAAUGAGGAUAAUACUGAUCCACACCUUGGAGUUGUGCUGGCCAAUAUGGUGGCCACUUACUAUGUGUAGCAUUUAACUAUAAUUAAAAUUAAAUAAAAUUAAAAUGAAUAAAGUUCACGUUCUCAGUUGCACUGGCUGUGUUUCAGAUGCUCAAUAGCUGCAUGUGGCUGGUGACCACUGUAUUGGACAAUGCAGACAUAGAAUAUUUCCAUCACUGCAGGAAGUUCUGUGGGGUAAGUGCUACCUUGGAGGGUUGUUGUGAAGACUAAAUGAGGCAAGAUAAAGUGUUUAACUCGAAGGUUUGCUCUGAAGGAAGGAUGCCAGCUGUCACUGUUACUCUCAGAGCUUCCUGAGUCGUCCUCCUCCCAGCUAAGGGUAGCCUAAAGGCCAGGGCCUUCCUUGGGACCAUGGCCAUGGCUGCAGACUGAAAGCACCACAGGAUGUGAGGAUGGAAAAGUGACCAGCUACACAUCCCCUUGAGCCACACUCUGAAAUUGUUCAAGCUCUGUACUUUACCAACAAGGAAACUGAGGCCCAGAGAAAUGAAGUGACUUCCCCAAAGUCACCUGACGGAACAGAGGCCAGAGUCCUGUUUCCUGACUCCUCACCCAAUGAUCCUUUCCACCUCCCCCGUUCAAGGGCGCUCAGAGCAGGCUGCAUCAGAGUUGUCAGAGGGUUUCAUAAAAACCAACAUAUCCAGGCCCCGCCUCAGAUGUAUGGAGCCAGAACUCACAGGGUGGGGCCUGGGGGUCUGCUUUCUUACCAAGAGAUCCAUAUGCUUUUGAUCUUUAGCUAGUUUGGAGGCACUAGGCCAAGAGACCAGGGUCUGACUUGCUCAGGCCUCUGGUGGAGUAAACAUGGAAAGCUCAUGGAACAGUGACCUUCCCACCCCUCACUGCCCCCUGAGCUGGUUUUCCCAGCAUGCCCUUCUUUCCCCCCUCUAACACACAUUGGAAAUGCUCAGGGUACCUUGGGAAAGGGGAGCAAGUGAAGACCUUCAGCCUGUUCCCAUCAGUCUCACCAAGGCAGCUGCUCUUGCCAAGGUGGCCCAGGCUGGAGCUGAGGAGACUGAGAAAGUGCUCAGGCCACAGCACCAUGCUUGCUGAGGGACUGUUUUGGCCUAGGCACCUUGACUUUGCCUCAGGCAGGUUGGCGCAUGAGGGAGCCAGUCACUUCAGCCCUGACUGCCAAGAGCGGCCCUGACAAGAUGGCCGCUGGCCAGCCCUCAGUGUUGUUUGGCUCAGGGGAACUGCUUUCUCCAACAGGAAGCCUUUAAUCUCCACAGUGGUAAUCACGAGUUAAGAGGGACCAGCUUCCCACUUCAGGGAGUUCAGAGGGAUUGUGCAACCCGGCGCUUUGCAAGGAGAGCCCCCUUUCAUCUGAGCACGCCAAGUGUCUUGUUAUCCUUGUGGCCUGGGAAGAGACAACGCUUGCCAGCGUCUGCCCCCUGUGUACGUGCGGCUUAGCUACGGCUCUGGGAAAUGAGGAACAAAACAGGAUUUGGGGGGGCUUUGGCUGGGAGUGGGUAGCUUGGUGGCCCGUUAUCAUCUUAGAGUGGAUGCUUUCCAGAAAGUUUUUCCUGCUCUCCACAACUGGCUUCAGACACUGCCACGUUCCAGUGGAGAAACUCUCAAGAAUGCGGAUCCCCUUGGGAUGAGGUAGAAACUGUGUCUCCUUUAUCCUCCAUUCAGGGCUUAAUAGGUCUCAUCAGGGUGCUCUUCGUGAGCACCAGCCCCCUGUCUCUUCCCCUAAAGAGCAGAGCCCAAGGGGCUUCUGCAUCUGGCUGAUGCUGAAGAGAGGGCAAGUCAAGUUCAGAGGACUCUGACACCCGCUCCCCAGAGAAACUGACGUGGAGGAUGCCUAUGUUGGUUAAAUGCCCCCUCAAGGUACAUUCACUCAUUCACUCAUUCAUUCAUUCAUCUGUGCAUUCAUUCAUUCCUCAGCACACCUUUACUGAGGGCUUCUUAUAUAGUGUUCUAGCCCCUGGGGAACAUCAGUGGACAAAAGACACAGCCCUUGUUCUCAGGGAGCUUACAUUCUUUGAGGGGGGAGGAGAGAGAAAAUAAACAAGUUAAUACAUCAUGUAAUGGGAGUUACAGAAAAGGGCUACGGAAAGUUAAAGCAGAGUAAAGACAGGGAGGGGAAGGGCUCUUUCUGCUGGGGUGGUUGGGGAAACAGGCUCAAGAAGUGCUGACUUAUUACACAUUUUCCCUGGUGUUGGAAACAUCCUGGACUCUCUCAUUGUCCCCACCACUCAGAGUGUCUUAGAAAUCAGAGGUGAAAAUUGAGACCCCCCCCCCAUUUGACCCCUCACUACCCUCUCUGUACACAACUUCCCCAAGAGUCAAAUAUUUCUAUAUCGAAAUUUACCAACCACAAACCACAGAACUUUUUUGAUGUGAUAAAAAUUGGCAGGUUGAUGUUAUAUCUGUUACCUUUAAGGCCACUUUAUUCAAGCCUUGGCUGACGGUAAAUUCUGCUCACAUCUCCAUGGGCUUGGUCUCAGGAAAGUGUCCCCAUUAGGCCACUCUCUUAACUUUCGCUCCCCUGAACUGACACCUUGGGAUCAGCCCCACCAAGUCCCCCCCUUUUAGGAGGAUGGAGGUUCCAAGGUGUAAUUUGUGAUAAGAGAAAUUCUGCCUAGAGGCCAAUACCAGGCCUUGUGAUACCGGCGCCUCCCCACCCCCCAGACUGACAGGCGUUCAAUCAGGGCACACAAGGCAAAUCCUCUUCUGGAGAGGCACUGGGUGUGGUAGAUCUAGAGGCAGAGAUGUGGCUGGAGUUCCUGCCUCCGCCGGGACCUGGAGGCAGCACAGGCUUGGGAGUCAGGCAGACCCAGAAUCAAGCCAUAGCACCGGUACUUACUGGGGUACCUCAGUCCUUCUGAGCUUUGGUUUCCUCAUCUGUAAAAAAGGAUGUUUACCUAUCUUUAAAAAACUGUGCAGAAGCCCCUGGCAUAUGUCAGACUCUUGAUAAAUGACAUUGACUGUGGCUCCUUGGGCAGACGGCUGCAUCUCUCUCAGCUUUGAUCCUUCCUCUGUGAAAGCCAGAUAUCAAUAUAUCAUCCUCCUGGGGUUAUUGUGAGAUUGGGAGGAGAUAUGUAAAAUUGCCUGUCACAGAGUCUGGGGCUCAACGAUGUGUGUCUAUUCGAUACCAGGAGCUUGUCUCAGGGCGAGCCAGCAGGUAGAUAGGAGCAGAAAUACCUCCCAACAGCCCUCCACAUUGCAGGGGAUGGGCCCUCUUCCCCGGCCACUGGCUUAGUCAAUGAAGAGAAAGUAGGGAGGGGAGGUGGGGGGAAGGACUUUCUGGAUAUUUUUGCUGAUUUAAAUUCUGGCUUCAGAAUUGGAACUGACAACGUUGGUAACGCACCAGCUGUACAGAUCACAUACCCACAGGAGGGCGGGGUGGUUUGAGGCCAGAGGUUGGGGAAAAGUGCAGUCUCACAGCCUCCACUUCCCCUGUGGAGAGGGUUCUGUUCCCCUAGGUUUACCAUUAGCCUUUCCAUGUGCUGACUCAUUCUCACGCAGCUCCAGCCCCGGAAAGCUGAGCGUGGGGAAGGCAGCCUGUUAAUAGCCUUUUCCUGGGACAUUCAUCCUGACUUUUUCUAAGAAAGUUUGAAUGUCAGCCCCGAUGUCCUACCUCUCGUUCUCACCCCCACUCCACCAGUGCUUUCCUCAUAGAGACUGAGAAGUAAGAGUUCUGGGCACCGAGUCAUGUCAGGAAGUCUCUGGAGCUUCCAUUCUGUUGCUUGUAGAUUUCUUGAGAUUUCAAAAUGGCAGCCUGUUCAUCUCAGUCAGAGAGCAAGGCAUAGGGUGAGAUCUUUCUAUAGUGCUCCCAGGGGACUCCAAUGGGAUCCCCACACAGCCGCUGGAUGGGAAUGAACAGCAGGUGAAAAGGCAGAUGCAGAACAAACUCUCAAAAAUGUCUCGAGGGCCAGCAGCGGGCAGAAAACACCUGGGCGGCUUGUGGUGUGGGGGCCGUGAUGCCGGCCGCUGCGUCUCUGACCACAACCCCACACAGAGCAACCUGCUUUGGGAGCAUCACCUGCUACAGUGAAGAAUGGUGACUGGGUGGAAUAGAAUCUAUGACAGGACAAAUUGAGGCUCCCUGGGCAGGACUGAAGAGAUAAUAAGUGGCCCAGUUCUUGGACACGACUGGGGAGCUGGCCUGCGUGUUCUCUGUGGGGGGUCAUUUGUACAGGUGGAGGAGUAAGAGGCAGCCUCGUAUAGUACAAAGAGCCCUGUUUUUUUCAUCUUAGCUUUACCGCUCAUUAGUUGUGUGACCUUAGUCAAGACAUGACCCCUCUCUGGGCCUCAGUUUCCUCAACUAUAAAAAGAUAGUGUUGCACAAGAUGAGUUCUAAGAACUCUUCCAGACCUGAUCUUCCGAGUUAAUAUUAUGUGCCUAUUCAGAAAAUGUGGCUCUGUUCAGGAGAAGAGAGAGGACCUGCUAAGGGGGCCAGUAGUUGGACUGGUAGGGGCAAAUGAGGGACGAAAAGGGGAGUGUGGGGGUUCUCUCCCUCUUUCCCUCAGAAGCCCUCCCCCAUCCCUUUCAUUAGAAAGCCUUUCCUGUGGCUCCUCCCACCCCACCUCACGGGCAGGUCCAUUGCUGCACAGGAAAACAGAGUCUGGUGUCUGGUUCUCCUGCGCUGAGGCACGCCUUCCACUGUUAGGCACUGUCAGCUGAAUCGCUGCUUCCUCUUCCAUCCCCCCUCACCCUCAGUUCUUCCUUUCUCCUCCAGCGCCUUUACGCUCAAGUCAGGAUUCAGAAGGCUCCCCGGGGACGGGAGGACUCUGUGAAGGAAGGAAAGGGAUGUGAAGGGGGUCUGGGUAAUGGACAGAAAGCUUGGCCUCGUGGGACGGGGGUGGUGGGAAGAGAGGCAGAGAGAGGCCUUAGAGCUAGAAGAGACCUUGACAGAGAAUGUGAGCGCUCCCCCACCCCCCACAACCGGCAACACCGGCAUGGCCCCCCAUAAGUCUUGUGCCUUAUCUCUCCAUCUUUAAAGUGGGCAAACCCACCCCUUUCUGCCACAGGAGGAGGUUGGGAGGCUUCACGUAGCCCUCAGAGUGCCUGUUGCUUCACUAGCCCGGGCAGAGCGGUGGGAGGGGGGCGGGCAGGCAGGCACAGUCACCUCUGGCAAGGCGUUGUCAUUGGGGACCUGCGUGUGCCAAGGGCUAAUGGAUUAACUACUUGGGUGGGAAUAGCCCAGCCUCCAGCUCCGGGAUACCUUGCCACCAUUUGAGGGACAUCCAGGCUGACGCCCCUCCUCUGCCCCCUGAACUUGGCAUGAAGGGAAGAUGGAAGCAGCUGAAAUGAUUUCCUGGCUGGCUCCCCCGCCCGCACGUCUGUCUAGCAAUUGCUCAUGCCCACAGAAACCACCUUGCACACGGCCCCUGGAUCCAGAUUUCUGCAAAGCAGUGCCAGGAAAACAUGGGGGAAGGGAGGGGCAUCUGGCUGAUGAACUCGCUUCGAGCCAAGAGGGAGUUUUUGGUUUGAAAACGGAUUGUCUUUUGCUCUGUUGAUAUUUCUCUGGCAUUAGUUUGCUGACUGCGAAAGAGAGGAUUUUGGCCAAAAAGUGAGUCUUCCUGGAACAAAUAGGCCAAUGAGAACUAACCCAGCACAAAGAGAGAGGAUAGUUUUCCUUUUCGGCAAAGUAUCCGCAAUUGCAGUAAACAUGCAUGAGCACCAGCUGGAGGAGGAGCCAUGUGCUAAGAGCACGGAUUCUGAAAUCAAACUGACUGGGUUCAAAUCACAGCCCUCUGAUGGGUUGUGUGACACGGCCUCAACUUCCUUAUCUAUAAAGUGGGGAUGAUAAUAGGUGAAGCUUAGACGGAGGGUUUGUGUGUGUGUGUGUGUGUGUGUGUAAAGCAGUUAGAACUGUACCUGGUACAUGGUAAGUGCUCAGUAGCUAUCACUUAUUGUUAUCAUUUUAGUAGAGACAUUUAGGGCCAUCAACUCUACUGUUAAGGACAUUUAGAAUCUAGUUGAAGGGAUAAGAAACAAACAUAUGCAAAUUUAGGUAAUAAAUAGUACUUUGACUCAAUAUCGCAGCACAUAAAUGGGGUGUGUGACUGAUAGCCAAUGGGUGGUACAGCAUCUUGAAAGGCCAGGCUGGUCCUGCCGUGCCCACCAUCCAUUUCUAGGUUGCCAGGCCUCCCCUCCCUCAACCCUAUGAAAGGGGCAGCCCAAUGGGGACUAUACAAUGCAUCACCUGUCCACAGGUGUUUAGACCAGGAGCAAACACUCAACCCAGUAACUGGCCAACCACAGUCUAGCCGGGGACCUGGGAUGGCCCAGUAUAAAAAGAUUAGUUACUACAAUCAGAUUCUCUCUAGGAAAUCUGGAUUGGACCCACGGAGAAAAUCAGACUAAAACUGAGGGAACAGGAGCUGAAAGGACACCCUGAGGUGGAAGUGGGGCUGUGAGGCUGUAACCUAAGCCAACAUUGUAAACAAACAGCUGUGACUAAGAGGCUGCCCAUCCACAGAGAUGGGAUCAGAGCAGACACAGAGAGAGCAGAAAACAGCACAAGAAGGCGACCAGGAGGCUUCUGAGGAGAGAGGAGAAGGGGCAACCCUCGGAGCUGCCUCAGUUCCUUCUGAAGGAACUUAAGUGAGUGUUUGGUUCUUGGAACCGAGAAAGCUGGACGGUAACUCCGAGAUGGAAGGGACCAUGGAGGGCUGCAGCAGCCUGAGGAGAGCAGAGAGGCUCCCGUCUGGAAGGCCAGGAGGACGUGGGACAGGCAGAGGGGCUGGAGGAAGGAGAGCAGUCAUGGCGAUGGGAAAGCAUGACAAGUAUCUGGGAAAGUCUGAGUAGUCCGGUUUGGGUGGCGCCGAGGACUAUAAGCUCAGAAUUUGGAAAUAUUCGGAAAGACUUAUUGUUGUAUCAAUUAGAUGCUUUCGGUGACAGCUAACAGAAAACCCAGCCAGACCAGGUUAAACUCUAACAGGAAGGGACUGGCUCAUUUUUGUGAGAUGUUGGUGGGUGUGGCAGGCUUCAGUCCAGGCCCAAUCUGGAGUUCAAAGACCACAGCAAGGACCUUGCAUGGACGCCUUCCCACUCUUCUUCUGAAAGAGGCUUCACCCCACCAGCCUACCUCUAAGUCAAUCUGCCAAAUGACCAAUUUGCCAAAAACAUAAUUUAAGGAAUAAUCUUUUUUAAAACAGUUAAUGAAAAUGCAUAUAUUUUUAACUUGAUUCGGAAAUUGGUUUUCAGCUAAUUGGCUUUCAGAAAAUUGUUUCUAGGCAAAUUGCCCUGCUUCCAGCUGUUCUUGAGAACCAAGAUGGUUGGCAGCAGCCCCUAGCGUCUCUAUUCACGUCCAGGAGGAAAAAGGGCCUCUGUGCCCCAGCCUGCACAGCAGAAGUCCUGAGGUUCACUUUGGUGGAUCUUCUGGGAUCCCAUGCCAUCCCCUGAGCCAAGGACGCUGGCCUGGAGAACGUGCUGGGGAGUGUGGACGUAGCUCAGUGGCUUUUUCUGAACCAGUCACUAGGGCUAGGGUGAUGGGGCAACGUUGGUGGGCUUAGGUCAUGUAAGCCCUCCCCUCCUGAGGCUGGAGGUAAGUGAAAUCACAGCCUGGACACAUGGCUGGGAGAUUCCAUGGAAAGUCUUUGGAGGUCAUAGAUGCAGAGAAAGCAAUUAGCAAUGCCAAUGACAGCUGGAGACAGUCUUGAAUAGCCAGAAAAAGGGUUUGGACUUUAUCCUAUAGGCAGCCAGUGAUACUGGAGGCUUUUAGAUCUGGGAUGUGUCUUCUUUCAGGGGGUAUUUUAGGAAAUUAGUCUGACUACAGGAUGGGUAGGAGGAAGGGAGAGUCUGGCAAACCAGUGGGGUUGUUAGAGAACACAGGAGGUUAGGCAACGAGGGCUGAAACUGGGGAACUAGAGUGAAAAAGGAAAGAGAGGGGCAACUAGGAAGUAUUUUGAAAGAAGUGAAAGGAAUUAGUGUCUUAUUAGACAUUAGGGAAGUGGGUGGGUGUUGUCAGUGGGAGGAGUUGAAAAUGACCCCAAGGCCUCUGGCCUGGGUGAAAUUUUGGAAUGUCUGCCCCACAACCUUAACCCCUUUCUCUGAGAUCUGUCCUUUCAUUCACUGGAAAGUGUCCUUUUCCUGGAGCCUUGUUUUGGUGGCACUCCCAGGACUCCUCCCAUUUCUGGAAAUGGACCCUUCCCUCCUUCUGGGAACUGUCCACUCCCCACUAUCCCUCCAUGGUUAUUGUGGAGGCCACUGUGCUAAUGUACAACCCCUGUAUGGGGCACCUGACCUGAGAUGGGUCAAUCAGAACUCUUCCUCAGCUUGGCACCAGAACUGACAAAGUGAUGUCUGUCUUUCUCUGGAGGUUGAAGAUGAGAUUGCUGACCUGCUACUGGUCUCAUUCUUCCACAUGGACCAAGGAGCAGAGGAAGCCAGUCUGCAAUAUGGAGAAGAAUGAAGCAGAUGCAGUCAUGGCUUCUGAGAGCAAGGCUGGGAGUGGCUGCCUGGAUCCCGGAAGGCUGUCACUUUCUGCAUGUACUUCCUGUUCUUGGGUUCUGUGAGACACCCUCUAGCUUCUGCAUAUACAUUUUAAGUGACUAUUUCUAAAGUUGGGAAAUUAAGAGUAGCUGCUGAUUCUAAAGAGAAGCUACAUGAAUUUGGAACUUUUGUGCAUUACCAGUGAGUUUACUGGAGGUAAUCAAGCUGGACCUCACUUGGAGAUGUCAUAAAGAAAUGCCAACACUUGGUGAGCAGACGCUUAAGUAAAGAAGGAAGCCAUAGGAGUGGGUAAGAUCUCCCAGAGAGAAAGUGUGGAGAGAAGUCACAGGAACCUUGCAGAACAACCACAUUUAGAGAUUAAUUGGAAGGUGUAAGGGCAAAGAGUGAGUGAUUUACCAGAGAAUUGGGGAAGCUAGGAUGCUAGUGUCCAAAGAUUCCAAGGGAAGAGCAAAUUCAAGGAUCUUAACACACAAGGAAACACCGGUGACUUUGGGCAGGCUUUGGGGUUGGUUGAGUGAGAAGCUCGAUGAUGUCACUUAGAACCCAGGUUCUUUCUACUUCUCUGCUCUGCUGCACUUGGCACUAGCUUCAUCUAAGGGUUGACUCCUCCCUUGGUUGAGAAAUAACUGCCAGUAAUGGGCAUGGUGGAAGAAAGAUAGGGAAUGUUCUCCCAGCCAUGGACUCUAAACUUUGCUCUUCAAUCUGAUUGGACCACUUCAGAUCAUGUGCACAUCUCUAGGCCAGUAAGGUUCACCAGAUAAACGCCAUUUACUGACCGGCUUAGACAAGUGAGGAGCUACUCCUUAAACUGGAGGUGGGAUCAGCAUCCCCUGAAGUAUAGAGGAUUGUGCUCCACCUGAACAUGCUCAGGGUUCUGUUGGAGAGGAAGAAAGGGGAUUGGAAUCAUCAGAGGCAAUGAACAGUCCCCCACAUGUGGCCCACAAGGCCUGCAUGAGCUGGUCCUGCCUCACCCAGUUCUUGCUGUCUGUGUUUUGUAAAGUUCUUAGAAUGGAGUAGGUUUCUUUCGCCCUCAGACCUUCUCAUACACUGAUCCUUCUGUGGGGAAUAGUCUCCAUGAUAUUUGUUGCCUAAUUCUUGUUCUUAUAUUGUCUCACUCAAAUGUCAUUCUUUGAAGAGAACUUUCCAAUCCUCCUAAACUAAAUUGGGUUCCCCUGCCCCCACCUCCCACUCGUGUCCCUAUUGGAAUCUAAUUUCAAGUUGUAAUUAUGUUUCUAUUGUGUUCAUUUGUAGCUCUAUGGGGCAGGCGCCAUGUUUGUUCUGCUCACCAAGGAAUCCUCAGAGGUUGGCGCACAGCAGAUGCUCAAGAAAUAUCUGGUGAAUGAAUAAAUUAGAUAGUUCAUCUACUUCUUUUUCUAACUUAUACCUAUUCUUUUUUAAGCACUUGAAAUAUCUUUGGAGGUUACUUGAAUGUAAAUAUUUCUGCAAAACAAUAUCUCUUCCAAAAGAACAAUGACUUUAAAUGAAAGUAAAUAGUAAGGAACGCUUUGAACGCUAAUCAAGUCCAAGCAAUGGUGGAGGGAGGUAUUUUUAUCAUGUUCAAAUAAUUUAUACUUCAUGUCAGUUACAUAGAUAAAGACAAGACUAGAGAAAAUUGGUGAACUAGUUAAACACUGUUUUGUUCUACUCCCUACCUCAUUAGUUAAUUAUAUUAACCAUUUAUCGAAUGCCUCCUCUGCACCAGCGAUUGGGCUAGGCUAUAAGACUUGGCCUUGUUUCAGGAAAGUUUACAUUAGAGUCAUUCUACCAAGUAAGGCAAGAACUGAAUGAAUAAUUUUAAUGAUGGUUUUCUGCUACAAAGAUUGAAAUAAACAGGUUUUUCUGAUUAACCUUUAGAUAAUUCAAUUCACUUCUAUUACCCGAACAUUCUAGUCUGCUUUGCUAGUCAGAGUUUCUACACGGGAGGGGCUUAAGCGCCAGCAAUCUGUUAGGAAGGGAGGCUGGAAGCUUGUCUUGAAAUCGCGUUAACACAGCAAGCACACUGUUUCGGCUCAGAUUGUACGGAUAUUUGACAUGGCGUGGGGUGGUUAUUGGCAAUUAUGGGAUCAUUUCAUCAUUGCCUCCUCCCUGUCACCCCUUGGAGUUACCACCGAUCCUUGCUAACAGAAGCAUAAUCACAUUUUGUUUAUCAGACUUUCAGAUAUCCCAGGCUUCAAAAUCCACUAAGAUUUCAAAAAGAAAAUUUCAAAGGGAGGAAGCAGCAGUGGUCUGCUCUGAUAACUUGUUUAUCAGUUUACUUUCCAAUUGCCCUGUCCUCUUCUCUCAGAGGGAGACGUGGGUGAGAACCCGACUCUUAGGGCUGAUGUCCAUGACAGGCUAUGAGAUAGAGAAUAGGUAAGUCUUUUUUUGGGGGGAUGGGGGAGUAGCUUUUGGCCUUGAAAAGAAAAAAAAAAGGAAAAUGUGGUUAGAAUGCCAAGUGAACAAACUGAAUUAGCAAUAUGGAAGCACAUAUUUGCCGGUUUUACAGGGACGUCACGGCAUCAAAAUCAGAGGAAUGUGCUGUGCAAAUACAAAAGAUGUAAUUUAAUAGUUUCCAAAUGGCCUUUCUUGUUUUAUUAUCAACCAUCCACUCCUCACACAUUGGAAAAAAAAAAGACUAGUUUGCAUUUAUGCUUGUCGCUUAUGCUGAAUGAACAUAUUUCACUCAAAGAAAGCAAAACUAGACAGGUCUGGUUUACUUGCACAAUAGGAUAUUAAUAUACUGUUUUUGAGGAUAAAUGCUUUAUGACCUCAGAAUGAAUCAGCUCUCGGGGCCAGGAGACGUUGAGCACAGCAGGCAGGAAGGCCUGCCCUCCGCUGUACGUGGCGUGGUCGUAGCACAGCCGGGCUGAGCUUCAGGGUCACAUCAUGUAUGUACCACACACAAGCCGGAUUAGCAGGAAUGUGUGAAUUUGGACUUGGUUCUCUUUUUCUUUCCUAAAGUCUGCUCAGGCAGACAGGUUUUGUGGUUCUAGAAUCCUACUGCAUGGAAGCUCAUAAUGAUAAUGACACUCUUAAUAAUAGCUAACAGUUAUUGUGUAUCUAUCGUGGGCCAGACACUGGGCUAAACGCUUUUUGUCCUCAUCUUUGGAACCCUCCCAACACCACUAUGAGAUAUAUUUUAUCAUCUUGUCAUUUUUCUCAUUUUGCUGGGGAGGACACGAGCACAGAGUAGUGCAGCCAUGUGCCCAAGGUCACACAGCUGGGGUUUAAACCUAAGAGUGCCUGGCUCAAAGGAGAUCUUCUGAGAAACUAAUGAGCUGAGGUUUCAGGGCCCUUCACUUAUGUGGCCCCUUGCAAAGCCCUGUGCCUAAUUUUGUGUUCUUUUUCUUAAGGACUCCCCAUCCCCCCUCACUACAAACUGUGUUGGUUGUAGUCCCCACAAAACCUGGAUCCAUCCCUGGUUUUAUUUCAGAGCCUUCAUUCUUUUUUUUAAAGAUUGGCCCUGAGCUAACAUCUGCUGCCAAUCUUCUUCUUUUCUUCUUCUUCUUCUCCCCAAAGCCCAGUACAUAGCUGUAUAUUCCAGUUGCGGGUCCUUCUGGUUUUGCUAUGUGGGACGCUGCCUCAGCAUGGCCUGAUGAGAGGUGCCAUGUCCUCAAUGGGAUCCAAACCGGUGAAACCCAGGGUAACUGAAGCAGAGCCUGUGAACUUAACCACUGGGCCACAGGGCCGGGCCCUAGAGCCUUCAUUCUUAAUCUCCAAACCAGUUUCUAAGCAAUCAUAAAUAAUCUGAAUGUCAAGGACUAUUUUAUUUCCAACACAAAGUAGGUGCUCAAUUCAACUCAAUGUUUGAACGAAAGUAUAGAUGACUGAAUAAAUGCCCUACUUGAAAGGCAUGCUGUGGACUGAUCAGUACUGUAGGUCGAAAACUGUGGGACAGAUUCAAAAGCUGGGAAGCUGGAGUGCCUUGUAAGCCCUUAAAAGAAAUUGAUUCUUUCCUGACAUAGGGCACAGAGUAGUCGCCGAGCUUUCACCAGCAUAAAAGAGCAGACGGAAAGUGCAGACGCUUCUCUGUGUCCCUUUACUGUCACGGGAAAUGCCACAUGGGCGAAUUUGCAGUGACUUCCUCUCUGCAGGCACUUCCAUAAGAGAGACCUCAUUUCACUUGGCUUAUCCAAUUAACAAAGGGAGACAAACAUAUUGAAAGGAAGUCCCUGAGGUGGCUGAGACAGUGUGCUAAGUGGAUAAACAACUUAAUUAGAAUCACCUACCCUGAUGAAAGCACGAUGCUCAGGGCUGGCUUUGAACAAGUAGUUCUAGUUUUGCAAGAGCUUGCUAGUGUCAUUUCAAGGAAAGGCUAGGAGGAAAUGUGUUUGAAACAAGAGUUUUGGUUAGACACCCAGAUGGUGAGGAUUGAUACAUACUGGAAGUAACUAUUGAAGGAAGUUGGACAGUGUAUAUUCCUCAUGCCAAAAAAGUAAUCUUGUCUCCAAGCAAGGAACCUGGGGAGUUCUCCAGGACUCUUCCAACCUGGAAAUUCCAGUGUCCUAAUGGGAUGCAUUUCCCCCAUGAUUUUGCUGAACUACGUGUCAGAAUGAGUAGAUUCUAAGGAGGGUAUAUCCUUGAGAACAAUUAGCCGUGGUUACCAGGAUCACCUGUGCUUUUCUGCGCCUGACUCCAGGGCCCCCCUGCCCAUAGGUCUCAAACAGGUAUGCUCACUUGAUUCAGAGGAAUUUGGCUGGUCGGGGUCUUGAUGCUUUGUGUACAGAAGAAGCAACUUGGGAGCCAGCCCUGAUGGUCUAGUGGGUAAAGUUCGGUGCUCUCACCACUUCAGUAGGCCGGGUUCGCUUCCCAUCACAGAACCACACAGUGGGUCUGUCAGUUGCCAUGCUCUGGUGGUGGCUUAUAUAGAAGAAGUGGAAGGACUUACAACUAGGAUAUACAACCCUGCACUGGGGCUUUGGGGAGAAAAAAAGGAAAAAAGUGACUUGGUAUAUAAAUUAAGGCUAAAGGUUCUUGCUCUUGCCUAUAACAGUGGGACAAUUAGCAAAAUCACAAAUUGUUUAUCAGAUAUUGGGGCUACUCAUGGUUUAGUUUUAAGAAUGAAUUGCCUUAGUAAGAGGUAUUAUGACUUAAAAUAGGUGGCUUUUUACAAAAAUCAAUCAACAAAUUUUUUCUUUUUUUUUUUUAAAGAUUGGCACCUGAGCUAACAACUAUUGCCAAUCUUCGUUUUUUUCCCCCCUGCUUUUUUCUCCCCCAAUCUCACCACAUAGUUGUGUAUUUUUCUUUUAGUUGUGGGUGCUCCUAGUUGUGGCAUGUGGGACACCACCUCAACGUGGACUGACGAGUGGUGCCAUGUCCACACCCAGGAUCUGAACCAGCGAAACCCUACGCCAUCGAAGUGGAGCGUGUGAACUUAACUACUCGGCCACGGGGCUGGCUCCUCAAUCAACAAAUUUAAUGCCACUCUAGUCAAUAUCCUGAUGGGAUAAAAAGCAGAAGGAGGAAGAAGAGAAGGAGAAAGAGAAGAAUGAGAAGAGUAAUAAGCACAUUUACUCAUCAUCCCCGGAAGCUGGAAACAACUCAAAUGUCCCACAGUCGGGGAAUGAACAGAUGGACUGCAGUAUAUUCCUACGAUGGAAUACUACUCGGUGAUAAAGAAGGAACCAUUGAUAAAUGCCACAACUUGGAUGGAUCUUAAGGACAUUAUGCUAGUGAAAGAAGCCAGACUCAGAAGGCUACAUACUGUAUGAUUCCAUUUGUAUAACAUUCUGGAAAAGGCAAAACAAUAGAGACAGAAAACAGACCAGUGAUUGUCAGGGUUAACCUAAAUAACUAACUAAGAGCGGGAGGCUUGACUGCAAAGGGGCAGCAUGAGGGAAUUUGGGGGAUGACGGAACUGUUCUCUAUCUUACACAAUUCUACACAUCUGGCAAAACUCAGAACUGUAUACCCCAAAGAGUAAAUUGUAGUGUACGUAAACUAAAAAAUAAAAUAAACCAGUGUUACACUAGCACAGGUAUAGACAGAUCAAUGGAGCAUCAUAGAGAGCUAGAAAUGGAAUGAAGUAUAAAUAGUUAAUAGCUUUGCCAAAGAUGGCAAUUCAAAUCCAUGGGAAACGAUGCAUUAUUUAAUAAACAGUUCUGGGAACCGUUUUUAUCAUUGAAAAAGUUACCUACUUCAUCCUUAAAUCAAAAUAAAUUUCAGAAGGAUUAAUUAAAGCUUUAAAUGGAAACAAAAAUGAGAAUACUAGAGGAAAAUAUAGAUUUUUAAAUAAUCUUGGAAUGGGGAACAACUUUUUAAAGAUAAUAUAAAAGUCAGAAAUCAUAAAGAAAAAAAUGAAUCGAUCUGACAUCAAUCAAAAACAUUUUAAAAACGCAGUAAAAUAAACAAAGAGUAAAUAUUAACAAGUCAACAGACUAAUGACAAAGUGGGAAAAAUAUCCACAACACAUCUGAUAGUCAAAGAUCUCUGUAGUGGGUGCUGGGCCACCACCCAGAUCCCACCUUCGGUACCGGGGUGUUAAUCCCCCAGCUGUCGGGAAUGUUGGUGUUGACAGCUCACAGCUAGUUCCUCUCUUGCAGCUGUCCACAGAUGAAGAGAGCCACUUCACCUGAAGUGAUCCCCCUUCUUUGGGGCAGCCCUCAUCCAAUGACCAGUCAAUAAAGGGGUAUAAGGGCCUGGCCCUCUUGCCUCAAGGUAGAACUCUGAAGGGUCAUCCCAGCUCCAGGGCCCAUGGGGUCAGCUGGGUGAGGCCUUCUGUUCAAUCCUUUUUUCACUCCCCCUUAGGUGUUGGUACCAAGCAUACUCCACCAAUGGACCUCUUCAUGAGUCUGUUUCUAGGGAACUCAGCCUGAGAUAAUAUCCUUAAUAUGUAAAGGGUUUUUCCAAAGCAACAAUAGAAAAAUGGGCAAAAGACAUAAACAACCAAUUUUUAUAUGCGCCAUAAUUAAAAUUACCUGUACCUUUUGUCAUAGCAAGUUCACUUCCAGGAAUUUAUCAUAGAGAAAUAAUCUCACAAGUGUGUAAAGCUAUAUGGUCAAGGCUGUCCAUGGGAGCAUUGUUUAUAAUAGCGAAAAACUGGAAACACUCUUUAUGUCCAUGAAUUAAUUAAAUAGAUGUCAUUGUCAUAGUAUGCAGUUAUUAAAAACAAUGACGUAGAUAUUUGUAAACAUGAAGCAAUGUUCAACGUUCAAAUAUAUUCCUUAAAAUACAUUCUGUAAAAUAC
rnacentral:lncRNA from 1 species